CCGUGUUGUUGUUUUUGUCGCACUGCUUUGCUUUAUCUUGGCCAGGUCGCAGUUGUAAAUGAGAACUUGUUCUCAACAGGCCUACCUGGUUAAAUAAAGGUGAAAUAAAAUAAAAUAAAAUAAUAAAACAAGCCAUUUCAACUUAAAUUACAUUAUAUUGCAGUUUGUUUUUGUCUGCAGUGUAAACAACAGUUUAAAGUAAAAGUCCAAUAAAAAGAUGAAAGAAAUGGAAGAGAGAUGGAAUGAAAGGAAAAGAGGAAAGAAAGACAGACAGUGGUGCUGUGAAUGUGUAAGGAUUUAGAUGCCGUCCUCAAACCAUCAGCAAGAUGGAAAAAUGAUAUGCCAUAAUUUCGAGGACAAAAUGACCCUGCAACACAGUAAAUAAGUCUUCUUUUGAAAUGCCAGUAAAACGUGUAUUUGUGUCAGGAGCAGUCAGCAUUUUUGGGACACAGACAGGAUUGGAGUACUUUUCAUACAUUAUGUAAUUGAAGAGAUAGCUCUGCCUCUAUUGUAACCUUCUUAUCAACUAACCCAACAUAUGAGGCAGAUUUCUUGUCACUGUGUUCAGGCUAAAAUGGGUUAAGAGCAGCAGUGGGGCCUCAGCACUAUAGCGGCCUUUGGCUCUGCCUGCUCUGGUUGGCCCGUCCCCUACUCUCAUGACAAUUUGUUUGUUCUCCUCAGAGAUGUGAGUCGACAGCUCGACUGUUCUCCUAGGCUUUGAGUGGUGAUAUAUUUAUCCACAGAUUCACCUUAUUGACGGCAUCAGACAGCAGACAAUAGUGAUAAUGAUGAGGGUAAUUAUCAUUGUCUUAGGCCUGCUUGGUUGAUUGGCAUUAGACAUUUCACUUUGGACUGCAAUUACAACCACUCAUAAUCCCUCCUGUCGAUCUGUUUUAGCAUGGCUUGACUGUAUUAUUUUAGCAUGUUUUAAAGCCAAACUCAGUAAGUCAGAAGCACUACCCAACAAGUUGCUGUUUUUCCAUAAAAACAUGUUGUUGUGGAAAUGGGGCCCACUAAAUCAUGGUCUGUUGGGCAGAUUUUGUACUUUUUAAUGCCUGCUGAGCAUAGUGAAUCAAUCAGACAAGCGCCAACAAACACAGAGAAGCAAAGCAUAACAAUCAGACAUGUUUGGCAUUUAAUGGCCGAACUUGUCACACCCUGAUCUGUUUCACCCGUCCUUGUGCUUGUCUCCUCCCCCUCCAGGUGUCGCCCAUCUUCCCCACUUAUCCUCUGGGUAUUUAUACCUGUUUUUUGUCUGUCUGUGCCAGUUUGUCUUGUUUGUUCAAGCCUACCAACGUUUUGUCUCAGCUCCUGGUUUUCCCCAGUCUCUCGUUUUCGCUGCCUCCUGUUUUUUUUACCCUUACCUCUCCUGACCCUGUACCCGCCCGCCUAACCACUCUGCCUGAGCCUGCCUGCCGUCCUGUACCUUUGCUCCACCUCUAGAUUACCGACCUCUGCCUGACCUAACACUGAGCUUGCUUGUCGUCCUGUACCUUGUACUCUACUCUGGAUUAUCGACCCCUGUCUGCCUUGACCUGUCGUUUGCCUGCCCCUGUUGUUACAAUAAACAUUGAUACUUCACACAGUCUGCACUUGGGUCUUACCUUGAUUCCUGCUAGAACUGUGGCACCUGAGUGUUCCUGAGUGUUCCAGGCCAAAAACCACAACAAAAAGAUCAAGCACACACCUCUGGAUAAUGAGAAAGCCCUGGCCUAUAUGUCCUGAGCUGCUGGCCCUAGCGUGAUGUCAAGCUAAAUCACAGAGUCUGGGAGAACAACCUCCCCAGUUUCCUUGGCAACAGAGAAGAAAUACAGUGCCUUCAGAAAGUAUUCAAACCCCUUGACUGUUUCCACAUAUUGUUGUGUUACAUCCUGAAUUUAAAAUUGAUUACAUUUAGAUGUUGUGUCACUGGCCUACACACAAUACCCCAUAAUCUCAAAGUGGAAAUAUGUUUUGGGAAAUGUUUACAAAUGAAUUAAGAUGAAAAGCUGAAAUGUUGUUAUGGCAAGCCUAAAUACAGUAUGUCGAGGAGUAAAAAUGUGCUUAACAAGUCACAAGUUGCAUGGACUCACUCUGUAUGCAAUAAUAGUUUAUAACAUAAUUUUUUUAUGACUACCUCAUCUCUGUACCCCACACACAAUUAUCUGUAAGGUCUCUCAAUCGAGCAGUGAAUUUCAAACACAGAUUCAACCACAAAGACCAGAGAGGUUUUCCAAUGCCUCGCAAAAAAGGGCACCUAUUGGUAUAUGGGUAAUUUAAAAAAAAAGCAGACAUUGAGUAUCCCUUUAAGCAUGGUGAAGUUAUUAAUUACACUUUGGAUCAAUACAGCCAGUCACUAGAAUGAUACAGGCUUCCUUCCUAACUAAUUUACCGGAGCGGAAGGAAACCGCUCUGGGAUUUCACCAUGAGGCCAAUGGUGACUUUAAAACAGUUACAGAGUUUAAUGGCUGUGAUAGGAGAAAGCUGAAAAUGGAUUAA
rnacentral:lncRNA from 1 species